rnacentral:rRNA from 1 species
UACGUAGGGGGCAAGCGUUGUCCGGAAUCAUUGGGCGUAAAGCGCGCGUAGGCGGCCCGGUAAGUCCGCUGUGAAAGUCGGGGGCUCAACCCUCGAAUGCCGGUGGAUACUGUCGGGCUAGAGUGCGGGAGAGGCGAGUGGAAUUCCUGGUGUAGCGGUGAAAUGCGUAGAUAUCGUAAGGAAGACCAGUGGCGAAGGCGGGUCUCUGGACAGUUCCUGACGCUGAGGCACGAAGGCCAGGGGAGCAAACGGG